ACUGUCACCUCCUCUUCGCCGACUCCGUACACACCUUUGGGAACCCCUGACCUGCUGGGGUUGGACCCCAACAAGCUUUAGAAGUUAAUU